CAGAGUGUAAAAACUCCAAAACCCACUGUGAACUUAUAUUUUUAUUCUUUUGGUAGGUGGUUUCUGGGAGAAACCUCUGAGCCGGCCUGCCGGUACCUGCCAGAGGAACGCAAAACCUCUAGAAUCUACAGUUGUCUGAGCCUUUAUAAAUAAGUUAA
rnacentral:misc_RNA from 1 species